AGCUUGUUCUCCUGGCCGGCAAUCGAGCAGCAGACACGCUGCAAAGAGCAACUUUUCUCCCGCCUCUCAGCUGAUCGGCGGGUGGGUGGGGCUUCCACGGAGGUCUGGUGUAGGCCUCUGUGAAGCCUGAACUCCAGUAGGGCCCAAGCCAGCCAGGAAGGAGGAGGCAGCCAGAGAGGCCACCACUGUUCUCUGCAGCAGAAGACCCCCUGCUGCCAGGUCAUUCCAACUGAAUGUCUCUAGGCUGAAGAACGUUUUAUUCCAAAAGGCUUCUGAUCUGCAAGGUACUGAUUGUUUUUGGUUUUGGCCUAACAGGAUUAGUGUCGCUGUAUUUCAUCUGCUGCAUUCGUUUAUAUUAUGUGUAUAUAUUAUUAUUGUAUAUAUUAUAUUAUUAUUUUAUUUGUUUUGUUUUUAUUUGAUAUUAUGACUGUGUUUUGUCCAUGGUGCACUACUCUGUCUCAUAUUGAGACAGAAGGGUGAUGAUAUAAAUCAUUUCAAUAAAUGUAAAAUAAAUAGUAGUACAAGAAUUUAUAAUUCAUUCUGCUUACUCCCCAAAUUAUGCAUAUUAUCAGUGGCAUAUUUGUGGCAAAUCCCUCAUGUUUGACUGAACUAAGGCUUUUUUGUCUCCCCCAUGCCUGCCCAUUUCUGGCUCAUUUAAAGACAGCAUAAUGCCAGCAACCAGUAUUACUUGGUAGUGGAGUGAAGCUAUUUUGAUUGUCAGAAAGGUGUGGCAGUUAUUCUAUGUCAUCAUUAUAAGGAAAUACCAAUUACUGUGAGUAGGAGUGAGAAAUCAGACAUGUCAUAGUCCCUCUGUCUGUCAUUGGCUUGGUUGCUGUGAUGUCACAGAUGGACUCUGACCACACGCUGGAUACGCAAUGGAGUAUCUAAGGGGAGCUCACAUUUAAAUUCUAAGGUCAAUAAGCAGCUUUUGUUCAAUUAGUGUGCAUCUAAGAAGCCAGUGGGCUUUGGAUUACUUCUUAUUGGUGCAAGGUGGUUGUGUGGUUUCAGUGCCUUGUAAAAACAGACAUCAGUCACAGACAGAUGACAAUUCACUGCUUUUUUAAUGCGAUGGUGUGAGGUGUGUAACUUUCAUCUUUUGAUCAUUAAUGUUGCUCAGGCAAUAAAAUUACAACAACCAAGCUUUCCUCUCCUGAGUUCAUGUUAAUCAAAGUUUUGAUCCAGCAUCUAGCAGUGCACAGGUGGUUCUGAUUAACUUCAAUGAGAGUCCAAUACAGGCAUCAGAAGAAUGAAUUUGGCCUCCACUCUCCACCAGCCUAAAUGUAUUAUUUGGUCUGGGCAGUUUGGGGGAAGGGAUGGGUUGCUAAAAUAUGUUGAAAUGAAAUUCUGACAAUGUUUUCAAAGUGUGCAUCUGUUUAUUGGUGGAACUGUACAGCUGGAAGAUGGUUAAAUAUAGAUCUGCACAGCAUGGUUUGAUUUAAGUUGAAGAACGACCACCAGUUUGGAACAGUCUCCUGAUGAGUGAGUACCAGAGAGAUUCAAAAAGGCUGUGCACAUAAAUUUAAUGGAUCCAGAGUAAGAACAAAGAGAAGUCAAUGAGAAGGUGUUGGAGGAAGGCUCAGGUGGUCGCAAGCUGAAGGAAAUGUGGACUUCUGCUUUCUUUCAAAUGGAGAUCUAGCUGCCAUAACAAAGAGAGAGAGAUGGCCAUUAGUGCAAUCUCUUAUUUGAAAUGGAGUGAAUAGUGUUGUGCAACUGAAGAAAAAAAGGGAAAGAGCCAUAAAGGCAUCAGCAAUUCUUAGAAGAAAAAUGGACACGCAUGGCAUCUACAGUCCUUGGUCAGAGACAGUGAUCCUAUCCACCAAAAAGUCUAAUAUUUAAGUAAAUAUCUAUUUCUGUAAGAGCUGAAAAUGUUAUUAUUUGUAUGGAUGUAUUAUGGAGCACCUUCAGGUGAGAGGGAGGUAUCGGGAGACACAGGGUAACUCACAGAUACAUCAGUGUCACAAAAAUAUGAAGAAAAAAACUAAAGGAGCAAAACAACAACAACCCCAAACUGUCCCAGUGUAACUCAAUGGAGUUGUGUGUUCAGACAGAGGGCAGUUAACAGACAACCAGAUGUGCAGAACUAACAGAACUCAGUGUUUAGUGAGAGAAGGAAAGGUUGAACAAAAAGAGGAGGAAUUUCUUAUCUUGAAGAAUACGCCCUUAAGACAGUCACAAACCCUUCUGCUUCUGAGGUGUAAAGAUGUCUACAAUUUUCACCAUCCAUCUGGUGAUGGUCCCAGGGGUGUAGCAAGGUUGGAGUGGGCCCAGAGACAAGAUUUUAAAAUGGGCCCCCUCCUCACUGAAGCUCAGCUCAUGAAGUAAAGAAAUCUUAUAUGAGGCUGAACCUAUGUGCCACAAUAGAACAUAAUCCUAAAUUAUUUUUUUUAACAGGUUUUGUAAAUCAUUUAAUGGUACUAGAGAAAGACAUGCUGAUCUGGUAGCUCCAGGUCUUAACACUCACAUCAGUUUUGGAGGAUGAAUACAACUGAAGGAAGCCUGGGCAGGUGCGUGGCUGGGGGAGUCAGUCAUGUGACUUGCCUCUGGGCGGGGGGGCAAGGCAGUGUGCCCCCAGACAACUGUCUCCCCUUGCCCUAUUAUAGUUACACCCCUGGAGGGUCCAUAUCUGUUUCAUAUAACAGCUAUCAUGCACACACUCUCUGCAUCUGUACAAAACCACCAUGGAGUAGGUAGUCCCAAGAACUUUUGAGGGCUGGGAAUGACUUGGGUCCUCUCCUUCAGGAUUUCCUUUGAAUAAUCUCAUGUACCAAGAUACACCACUGUUGUCAUUAAUCAUUUUUUUUACGACUGUAUACAAGAUAAUGUACAGUAAAUAAAAUAUCACCUAACUAAUUUAAA